UAAAUUCUCUCUCAUUUUUCUCCUCUCUCCCUCUCUCGGCCGCACGACCCCUUCUCUCUCUUGCACGUCGUUCUUCUGCUAGCGCCGGAAAAUGCUAGUUUCCGGCCACCACCUCUCGUCACCGCCACCACCAAUCGGUCCGACACCUAGUUUCGACGCAAGCCCAGGCCAAAUCGACGAGUUCUACCGAGCCUAGCCACCAUGCACAGCAACCACAGUCCCCGCGAUUUUGUCUCCUUCAAUUCCGGCGACUCCCUCAGCUCACCGCUGCCGCCAACGUGUUUGGAUCAAGCCAAGCCACAAAACCCAAAUGUUUCUCCUCCAAUCGACGCCGGAAAGCUGCCAUAUGCAUCACUGCCGGUGACUCCGAAUCUGCUUGUCCUCGUUCUCCAAUCUCCAGCCCAAAUUGAGCUGCACAACCACCAAAGUUGGAAUCAGAGCCUCCUCAUUCUUCAAAACCCUUUGGUCCCGACCUUUGCUUCGGCCAGAACCGUUGCACGCGCUGCCGCUGCCGUGUGGACCACCGUGGCUCCGCCACCGGAAUUCCAGGCCACCUUUAUUAGUUUUUGAUUAUGAGUUAUGAAGUUUUUGGAGAAAGGAAUGGGCAUUGGUUCAGUUUGAUGUAUAAUGAAGGAAGGAAGGAGUUCGAAUGGUUGUUGGUGGUGGAGGACUACACUUAUUUAGAAUUGGCCCUCUGUUUGAAGAUGAAGAAUUGGACUCGAGCGUGACUACUUGAGAUAGAACGAAAGCUCAAUAUCGAAAAUGAUUGAACGGAGAAAUUUCCGAGCUCUUGACUUGGGAUGGAUGAGUUGACGGUUAUUGCAUUUGAAUCACUUUUGCAGGCGAAAUUAGUUGAGGUCGGGCGUACAUGGAGUCGAGGCAUAGCCAACAGCAUUGCUUCCGCGUACUCAUUCUAUUUCUGUUUUCUUUGUUACCUAGUGGAUUAGUAUUGCUCUGAUAACCUAUGGGAUUACUAUUGUUUUUGGGUUGAGACUGAUAUUUGUGAAAUUGGAGUUGUGAUUUGGGGAGCAGAUGGCUCCAGGAGAAUAAGGAUGGAUGAUUUAGAAGUGUAAAUUUUCUUUCUACAGGUUUUGGGUUGUCCACUUUAGGGGAAGUUCUGCCAAAUUUUUUGGCAAAAUUUCUUCUAAGGUGGGCCCCGCAGGUCCACUUCGGAUUUCACCCUGAAAUCCGGGGCGGGUCCUGUCAGGAAGUUGGCUGGAAAAAUAUGUUUCUGGCCGGUGCUGGCCGGAACUAGCCGAAAACAACUUCUGUCCGAUUUUUUACAGGCGGUUCAGUGGCUUUGGUGGCGGUUCAGUGCUUUUCUGGCCGGUUCUGGAGAUUCUGCUUCCGGUUCCUGGAUCCUGGAGUCAAGGUACUACUGGUGACUAAGUUUGGUAGGCGGAGGAGGUUUGGAAGGCGGCGAACUAGGCAGGGAUUUCUUUCUGCUUCUGGGGGCCGGUUCGGUGGUUUUCCUGUGGUUCCGCCGCCGGUUCUGGGCUCCUGGGAUCGAGGGCUUCAAGGUGUGCGGUGGGGGAAGUUAGGGUUUGAGGGUUACAAUUUUAGGAUUUCAGGGUUAGAGCUUCGUGCUGAUAACAUGUUUUAAGGAAUCAGAAAUUGGAAGAGAAUGAGUUGUGCUUUCAUUGAUAAUAGAGACCUCUUUAUAUAUAGGAUUACAAGUAGCUAGAGAAUAUAAGUCUUACAAGGAAACUGAAUCGUACAAUGAUUAUGAUAUCUGUAAAACUAACCUUAUUGCUGAUAAAGUAAUCUGGGGUUCACAUCCAAAACCAAUUGGCAAUGGAUGGAGUGGCCCAAACCCUUAUAAACCCAUAGGCAAGGUCCCAUUUUUCCCAUGUGGGAUGUAUAUAUUCUCAACACGCCCCCGCACGUGUGGCGAAUUUUCAAGCCAUACACGUGGACAACUUUGGGUGACGUGGAGCCCGUGUGGCCGUGAGGCAUGCACACGUGGGUAACCCGCUCUGAUACCAUGAUAAAGUAAUCUGGGGUUCACAUCCAAAACCAAUUGGCAAUGGAUGUAGUGGCCCAAACCCUUAUAAACUCAUAAGCAAAGUUAUAUUUUUCCAAUGUGGGAGUUAUAUUUAUACACAUUCUCAACACGCCCCCGCACGUGUGGCGAUUUUUCAAGCCAUACACGUGGACAAGUUAUAUUGGGUGACGGUGAGCACGUGUGGCCAUCUCUGAAACCAAACACGUGGGUAACCCGCUCUGAUACCAUGAUAAAGUAAUCUGGGGUUCACAUCCAAAACCAAACACGUGAGUAACCCGCUCUGGUAAUGAGUUGCUGGAUGGGAAUUUCAUUACAAAAAGUUUGGUGAUUUUAGAUUGGCAAAGCUCAUGGAUCAUGAUAGGAGCCCUGUUUUGAGGUUUAUAGCUGGAAUAAUGGGGUGCUGAUGCUUUCUGCUUUGGUGGGAAAACUGAUUGAAGCUGCUGGAGUUCUGCUUUCCACUGUUUUUCUUUGUUCCAACCAUUAUGCUUAGGUACCAAGCAUAUGGUUGAGGGGGGAUGUUAAGGGUAAUAUAGGAGUGUUGGUUAUUUUUACUAGUGUUGGUUAUUUCACUUAGUUUGCUUUAGUAUAUAAAGAGAAUGUAUGGUUGUAAAUGUAAUUAGAAAAUCCCAGUAACAAUGUAGUCCUUAAGCCUUCUCGGGGUUUCUUUUC